UCGUAGAAAUAGCUGCAUAAAUUGUUGGAUAUUCGCCCACUAGUUAUCACUAUCAAUUCAGCUGGACUACUGGUAACAUCGACCCGAAUAUUCCGCAUGAAAAUGGCUCUAUCCCGGAGGGUUACAAUCGUCUUCUUUAUCCUCGUCGCUAGUGGUUACUUUCUCGGAGUGAACGGUAAAUCUGGUAAUGACUCGUCUACCGAAAGCAGUAAUUCCUCUAGCGGGGAUUCCUCUAGUGGUUCUUCCAGUGACAAAGUCUCAGCCCUCGAUUCAUUCUUGGGCAAAAUCCCAAUAGCUGGCUCUCUCACAGUUGGCAUUCUGUCAAUGGUGAAGGGAAUUCUCCGGUUAACAGCUAAUAUGCUGUAAAAAAAUUUCCAUCGCGGUGAAUAUCACUUGCAGAAAAAAAUAACUCGCAUGAAAUAUUUUCGUGUUUUUGUCAAUAUUCAAAUUCAAUUCAUAAUUUUUGCAGGUGUUGAAUAAAAAUUUUGUUCACAUUAAAAAA